CAGGAAAGCUCUGGAUAACAGUGGGUCCUGGUCCUGUCCUUGUGUUUCAGAGCCAAAUUCGGAGGCCUCCGUUGGAUUGAGGAACCCACCUGAGAUGGAGCACGCUGUUCCCCCAGAGUAAGAAGAUGCCACACACAGGCGUCCAUCUCUCAGUGUCCCUGAGCCUGCUGCUGCUCUGAGGCAGACAAUGAUCCUAGGUUCCAGCUGGGGAACAUGGGGCGUAGAUUCCCCACCUCUGAGACUUAUGGUGCAGAGGUCUCUGCUGCUGCACCCAAGAAAGAUGCUGCUGCUUUAAGAAGACUGGGCAUCAAAUCUAGAACAAUAAUACCAUCAGGAUUCAAGAGAGUCCUUGUGUGCAAACUGCAUUCACAACCAGCAAUGAGACCUGAUCUCUUUUUCCUCCCUUUUUAUUGCUUUACACAAAUCUAUUGUUUUAUUUUAAGGUUAAAAUAAAAUUUCAAAACAAAGUAAUAAGACAGUAACAUUAGUUAGUGCAUCACCUAUUGUAUCUUCAAAAUAGUUACUCAGAGUACAAGACAGAGUCAAGAGAUACUGUCCAAGCAAAAUAGCACAAAUCUUGCUUUCCAGUGAACUAAAAGAGAAUACUAGUGUGUUAACUGUUUGGGAAAUAAUUUUUUUUCCUUUUCCCUUCUUCUUUUCCUCCUUUCACCCAUCCCAGCUUCUCUUUCCUUUUGAACAGUUUCUUCACAUUUUACAAUAUCAAUUGCACAUUUUAGCCCUCUUUUACUUUCAGCAUCUCCCAUUUGAGAGCCAAUAAGAUGUUUUCAGAUGUGAAUCUGAUUUAUUUCACUUACGAGUGGUCUCAAGUUGCAUCCAUUUACCUAUCAAAGACUCUAUCCUUCUUUAUGGCUGCAGAGUACUCCAUUGUAUGAACAAAAGCCACAUAUCUUGUAUCCAUUCCUUGUUUGGUGGCCAUUUGUGUUAUUUGCAUAUUUGGCCAGUACAGAUGUACUGCAAUAUAAAUGUGGGUGUACUUGUCUCAUUGUG
rnacentral:lncRNA from 1 species